CAAACAUGUCAUUGAGAGUCUUUGCUCAACUGCCACCCUGCAGACAGUCCGAGCCGCCGACACCAACGAGGUGGACAAGCUAAUAUUCAGAGAGAGUGACAAUGACCGGAAGGUUGUUCUUCAACUUGAGAAAAAGCUUUUUAAUUAUGUCAACCAGGAUGUUUUCCGGGAAAACAAUGGGAG